rnacentral:rRNA from 1 species
AAUAUCAAAGGUGAGCCAGUACAGGAUGGACCCGCGUCUGAUUAGCUAGUUGGUAAGGUAACGGCUUACCAAGGCGACGAGCAGUAGCCGACCUGAGAGGGUGAUCGGCCACAUUGGAACUGAGACACGGUCCAAACUCCUACGGGAGGCAGCAGUGGGGAAUAUUGCACAAUGGGCGAAAGCCUGAUGCAGCAACGCCGCGUGAGUG